UACGUAGGGUGCGAGCGUUUAAUCGGAAUUACUGGGCGUAAAGCGUGCGCAGGCGGCUUCGCAAGUCAGACGUGAAAUCCUCGGGCUUAACCUGGGAAUGGCGUUUGAAACUACGGAGCUGGAGUGUGGCAGAGGGAGGUAGAAUUCCACGUGUAGCGGUGAAAUGCGUAGAUAUGUGGAGGAAUACCGAUGGCGAAGGCAGCCUCCUGGGCCAACACUGACGCUCAUGCACGAAAGCGUGGGGAGCAAACAGG
rnacentral:rRNA from 1 species